AGAAUCAACGCUGGCGGCGUGCCUAACACAUGCAAGUCGAACGAGAAAGUGGAGCAAUCCAUGAGUAAAGUGGCGCACGGGUGAGUAACACGUGACUAACCUACCCUUGAGUGGGGGAUAACCUAGGGAAACCUGGGCUAAUACCGCAUAAUACCUUCGGGUCAAAGGAGCAAUUCGCUUAAGGAGGGGGUCGCGGCCGAUUAGUUAGUUGGCGGGUAAUGGCCCACAAGACUGUGAUCGGUAUCCC
rnacentral:rRNA from 1 species